UCACUGAUGAGGAGUCCCAGACUAGGACAAAACAGUUGUCCAGUAA
rfam:Trichobilharzia regenti genome assembly, scaffold: TRE_scaffold0026739